AAACGUAGGACGCGAGCGUUAUCCGGAUUUACUGGGCGUAGAGCGCGGGCAGGCGGUGGUCCAAGUCGGACGUGAAAGCUCCCGGCUCAACUGGGAGAGGUCGUUCGAAACUGGGCCGCUGGAGGGCAGUAGAGGGGCGUGGAAUUCCGGGUGGAGUGGUGAAAUGCGUAGAGAUCCGGAGGAACACCAGAGGCGAAGGCGGCGCCCUGGGCUGCACCUGACGCUGAGCCGCGAAAGCUAGGGGAGCGAACGGGAUUAGAAACCCCGGUAGUCCUAGCCGUAAACGAUGUCCACUAGAUGUCCGGGCUGAAGGGUCCGGGUGUCGCAGCUAACGCGUUAAGUGGACCGCCUGGGGAGUACGGCCGCAAGGCUAAA
rnacentral:rRNA from 1 species